rnacentral:rRNA from 1 species
GACGAACGCUGGCGGCGUGCUUAACACAUGCAAGUCGAACGGAAAGGCCCUGCUCUUGCGGGGUGCUCGAUUGGCGCACGGGUGAGUAACACGCGAGUAACCCGUCCUUGUCUUUGGGAUAACUUUAGGAAACUGCGGCUAAUACCGGAUAGGAGCUCCUGCUGCAUGGUGGUGGUUGGAAAGUUUCGGCGGUUGGAGAUGGACUCGCGGCUUAUCCGCUUGUUGGUGUGGUAGUUGCUUACCAAGGCUUUGACGGGUAGCCGGCCUGAGAGGCUGGCCGGGGACAAUGGGACUAAGAGAGGGCGCAGUCGCGUACGGGAGGCAGUGGGGGGAAAUCUUGCGCAAUGGGCGGGAGCCAGAUACAGCGGCGCCGCGAGCGGAAUGACGGCCUUCGGGGUAUGAACCACUUUCGAAUGUGACGAGGCGUGAGUGACGGUAAUGAAUCAGGAAGCACCGGCUAACUACGUG